rnacentral:rRNA from 1 species
UACGGAGGGUGCAAGCGUUAUCCGGAUUCACUGGGUUUAAAGGGCGCGUAGGCGGUCAGCACAAGUCAGUUGUGAAAUCUCCGGGCUUAACUCGGAAAGGUCAACUGAUACUGUGCGACUAGAGUGCAGAAGGGGCAACUGGAAUUCUCGGUGUAGCGGUGAAAUGCGUAGAUAUCGAGAGGAACACCUGCGGCGAAGGCGGGUUGCUGGGCUGACACUGAGGAACGAAAGCCAGGGGAGCAAACGGG